CAUUAUUCAUUGGAAACAAAGUUCAUUUUCUUUUCCUCACCCCCUCCCACCAACCCUCCAUAGCUGACGCACAAUUCCACUGAGUAUAACAUGUGUCCUUGAUUUGAACCCAUUUCCAUGUUGUUGGUAUUUGCAUUAGGGUAUUCAUUUAGAGUCUCUCCUCAGUCAUAUCCCCUCAACCCCUGUAGUCAAGCAGUUGCUUUUCUUCAGUGUUUUUACUCCCACAGUUUGUCCUCUGCUUGUAGAUAGUAUUUAUUCUCCUAGAUCCCUGCAGAUUGUUCAGGGACAUUGCAUUGACACUAAUGGAGAAGUCCAUUACGUUCGAUUGUACCACAGUGUAUCAGUCUCUGUGUACAAUGUUUUCCUGGUUCUGCUCCUUUCGCUCUGCAUCACUUCCUGGAGGUUGUUCCAGUCUCCAUGGAAUUCCUCUACUUUAUUAUUCCUUUUAGCACAAUGUAUCAGUCUCUGUGUACAAUGUUUUCCUGGUUCUGCUCCUUUCGCUCUGCAUCACUUCCUGGAGGUUGUUCCAGUCUCCAUGGAAUUCCUCCACUUUAUUAUUCCUUUUAGCACAAUAGUAUUCCAUCACCAACAUAUACCACAAUUUGUUCAGCCAUUCUCCAAUUGAAGGGCAUCCCCUCAUUUUCCAAUUUUUGACCACCACAAAGAGUGCAGCUAUGAAUAUUCUUGUACAAGUCUUUUUCCUUAUUAUCUCUUUGGGAUACAAACCCAGCAGUGCUGUGGCUGGAUCAAAGGGCAGACAGUCUUUUAUUGCCCUUUGAGCAUAGCUCUAAAUUGCCCUCCAGAAUGGUUGGAUCAGUUCACAAACCCACCAGCAGUGAAUUAAUGUCCCAACUUUGCCACAUCCCUUCCAGCAUUCAUUACUUUCCUUUGCUGUCAUGUUAGCCAAUCUGCUAGGUGUGAGGUGAUACCUCAGAGUUGUUUUGAUUUGCAUCUCUGAUUAUAAGAGAUUUGGAACACUUUUUCAUGUGCCUAUUAAUAGUUUUGAUUUCUUUAUCUGAGAACUGCCUAUUCAUGUCCCUUGCCCAUUUAUCAAUGGGAGAAUGGCUUGAUUUUUUCGUACAAUUGAUAUAGUUAUUGGUAAUUUGGGUAAUUAAACCGUAGUCAGAGGUUUUUAUGAAGAUUUUUUCGCAAUUUGUUGCUUCCCUUCUGAUUUUAGUUAUGUUGGAUUUGUUUGUACAAAAACUUUUCAAUUUGAUGUAGUCAAAAUUAUUUAUUUUAUAUUUUGUGACACUUUCUAAGUCGUGCUUGGUUUUAAAAUCUUUCCCUUCCCAAAGGUCUGACAUG
rnacentral:lncRNA from 1 species